rnacentral:rRNA from 1 species
UACUUUUUUUUUAUUUUAAAAGAAGUUCCCUGCUAUCUGCAAGUCGAACGAACUUCCGUUAAUUGAUUAUGACGUGCUUGCACUGAAUGAGAUUUUAACACGAAGUGAGUGGCGGACGGGUGAGUAACACGUGGGUAACCUGCCCAGAAGCAGGGGAUAACACCUGGAAACAGAUGCUAAUACCGUAUAACAGAGAAAACCGCCUGGUUUUCUUUUAAAAGAUGGCUCUGCUAUCACUUCUGGAUGGACCCGCGGCGCAUUAGCUGGUUGGUGAGGUAACGGCUCACCAAGGCGAUGAUGCGUAGCCGACCUGAGAGGGUAAUCGGCCACAUUGGGACUGAGACACGGCCCAGACUCCUACGGGAGGCAGCAGUAGGGAAUCUUCCACAAUGGACGCAAGUCUGAUGGAGCAACGCCGCGUGAGUGAAGAAGGGUUUCGGCUCGUAAAGCUCUGUUGUUAAAGAAGAACGUGGGUGAGAGUAACUGUUCACCCAGUGACGGUAUUUAACCAGAAAGCCACGGCUAACUACGUGCCAGCAGCCGCGGUAAUACGUAGGUGGCAAGCGUUAUCCGGAUUUAUUGGGCGUAAAGCGAGCGCAGGCGGUCUUUUAAGUCUAAUGUGAAAGCCUUCGGCUCAACCGAAAGAAGUGCAUUGGAAACUGGGAGACUUGAGUGCAGAAGAGGACAGUGGAACUCCAUGUUGUAGCGGUGAAAUGCGUAGAUAUAUGGAAGAAACACCAGUGGCGAAAGCCGGCUGUCUGGGACUGUG